rnacentral:rRNA from 1 species
GACGUAGGGCGCGAGCGUUGUCCGGAUUUAUUGGGCGUAAAGAGCUCGUAGGCGGUCUGUCGCGUCGAUCGUGAAAACUUGGGGCUUAACCCUGAGCUUGCGGUCGAUACGGGCAUGGACCGGAGGUUCGGCAGGGGAGACUGGAAUUCCUGGUGUAGCGGUGAAAUGCGCAGAUAUCAGGAGGAACACCGGUGGCGAAGGCGGGUCUCUGGGCCGAUACUGACGCUGGAGGAGCGAAAGCGUGGGGAGCGAACAGG